GAUGAACGCUGACAGAAUGCUUAACACAUGCAAGUCAACUGUGGCGGACGGGAGAGUAACGCGUAAAGAACUUGCCACAAAGUUAGAGACAACAUUUAGAAACGAAUGCUAAUACCUGAUACAGUGAGAGAGCAUUGCGUCCCAUUAGCUAGUUGGAGAGGUAACGGCUCACCAAGGCGAUGAUGGGUAGCCGGCCUGAGAGGGUGAUCGGCCACAAGGGGACGGAGACACGGCCCUUACUCCUACGGGAGGCAGCAGUGGGGAAUAUUGGACAAUGGACCAAAGUCUGAUCCAGCAAUUCUGUGUGCACGAUGAAGUUUUCGGAAUGUAAAGUGCUUUCAGUUGGGAAGCGGUACCAACAGAAGAAGUUACGGCUAAAUACGUGCCAGCAGCCGCGGUAAUAC
rnacentral:rRNA from 1 species